rnacentral:misc_RNA from 1 species
AAGUCGUAACAAGGUUUCCGUAGGUGAACCUGCGGAAGGAUCAUUAACACGUAUCCAAACGUUAAACCCCCCUGUGAACCUUCACCUGUACUCGUACGUCCGUUAGAAAAAGCAGCAAUCCCUGGUAAAUCAUCGCCGAACAGUUUUCGAUUCAGGGAUGUCUGCAAGGAGCGUGCAUGUUGUGCGAGCAAGUGGCCUGGCAUCCCCAAGCAGUUAGUGUCUGAAAGUGUCAUUAACUGUGUAAGGAUGACGCAGUCACGAUCGUUGGAGGCCCACACGGCCGACGACCGGCUCACUGGGCGCAAGCCCCCCUAUAACAAACGCUGCUAAUCGCGGCCGCGAUAAUACGCAGUCGACCAAAAACCGAACAACUGUUAACAAUGGAUAUCUUGGUUCUC